rnacentral:rRNA from 1 species
CCUACGGGAGGCAGCAGUGAGGAAUAUUGGUCAAUGGGCGGGAGCCUGAACCAGCCAAGUCGCGUGAGGGAAGACGGUCCUAUGGAUUGUAAACCUCUUUAGGCGGGGAGCAAUGCCGGGCACGUGUGCCCGGAGGGAGAGUACCCGCAGAAUAAGCAUCGGCUAACUCCGUGCCAGCAGCCGCGGUAAUACGGAGGAUCCGAGCGUUAUCCGGAUUCAUUGGGUUUAAAGGGUGCGUAGGUUGUUUUAUAAGUUAGCGGUGAAAUACCGAUGCUCAACAUCGGGGCUGCCGCUGAUACUGUAGGACUAGAGAUCGGAUGCAGCAGGCGGAAUGUGUAGUGUAGCGGUGAAAUGCAUAGAUAUUACACAGAACACCGAUUGCGAAGGCAGCUUGCUAGGCCGGAUCUGACACUGAUGCACGAAAGCGUGGGGAUCGAACAGGAUUAGAUACCCGAGUAGUC